GGUCGGAAGCCGGAAGAGCUUUGGAAGGGUCGGCCUUUUACGAACUUCAGCUGGGGUUAUUUUAUACCCAACAACAUCCAAGAAAGUAUAUUGUUGGAAGAUAUCUAACAUAUCCACUUAUUCAAAUAGAGUCUAUAACUAGACUUGAAGCUUAAGCUCAAAACUAGGCUUGAGAGACCCUCCUAAUCUCUCUCUCUCCUG
rnacentral:lncRNA from 1 species